ACUCAGAUCAUCUACAUGAAAAUACCAUUAAUGACUGUCUUCAAUAGUCGUUUAUUUAUUUAUUUCGGUUUCAUAUAAUACAGUAUCUCCUCUAUCCAAUGCUGAUUUACACCUGCAUGAUUCUAGUGUGGCAUAUGCCAGUAAGUAACCUCGAGAUGUUUGACAUUUAAUUGUAGUUACUUCCUGCACACAGCAAAAUGUAUAAUUAGAGCCAUCACUAAUUAGAAAGCCACUGUCCUCAAUGGAGAGACAGGCACCAAGCCAAGAGAGACGACACUAUCAAGCCUGGCAUGGUCUCCAAUAUGGGAAUAUCCUUUGCUGACGGAAUUCGCCACCUUGGCCCACCUGGUCUGGCAACACAGUGCAUGGUGCCCGGCAGUGGAGCCCCAAUCCCUGAGGCCCUCCUCCCAGGAGACAGUCCUCAGAAGCCUGUCAUGGAGUGGACUCUCCCUGGCUUAAUCUCUAUCUUUCUGCCUGAGUUCCCACACCCUAAAUUCCCUGGGCAAGACAAUUUCCAGAUCCUGGGCUUCAUAGCUAAAGGCUCCUUUGGUCCUAUCUUGAAAGUAAAGGACAGGUCGAAGGAGUAGACGUAUGCCGUUAAGGUUUUAUCCAAGUCUGAGAUACUGAAGCAUGGCGUCCUGGAACAGUCAAAGGAGGAGGUCAUCAUUCAGAACUUCUGUGCAACAAGAAGCAUGGUCCCAUGGAGCUUUUGCUCGGCAUGUCAGCCACCCAUUCCUCCACAAUCUGCAGGAUUGCUGGCAGAACCAGCGUCACCUCUUCAUUAUGUGAAUACUGCAGUACUGGAGACCUGUAUACCUACUGGUUACUGAAGGGCUAGUUUGGGGAGGAUGAGGCUCGGGUGUUUGCUGCAGAGCUAGGCUGUGCUUGGGAUGGAGAAUGUCCUUCUGUCUGACCAAGGUCAUCUGCGUUUAACUGACUUUGGACUCUCUCGCCGUCUUGAGCGGGGCGCAAGAGCAUUUACAAUUUGUGGGACAAUCCAAUACAUGGCUCCUGAAGUCCUGAGUGGGGGUCCCUACAGACAUGCUGAUUGGUGGUCUCUCGGGGUUCUGUUCUCAUUGGUGACUGGAAAGAACCAGACCACUCCAACAUGCUGAGAAAGCUCCUAUCUAUGCAAGAACCCAGCUCAUCGCCUGCGUAGCCUGGAGCUCUUCCAAAGGCAGACAUUUUUCCGUGGCAUUUCCUUUGACUCUCAACUGCUACAGAAGAGACCCGUUGAACUAAUUCUAGAACUGAAGAACCAUCCUAAUCGUCCAGCCAUAGCCAUGUGA